AGAGUUUGAUCCUGGCUCAGAACGAACGCUGGCGGCAGGCCUAACACAUGCAAGUCGAGCGCCCAGCAAUGGGAGCGGCGGACGGGUGAGUAACACGUGGGAAUUUUCCUCAAGGUACGGAACAACUCAGGGAAACUUGGGCUAAUACCGUAUGAUGCAGAGAUGCCAAAGAUUUAUCGCCUUGGGAUAAGCCCGCGUCAGAUUAGGUAGUUGGUGGGGUAAUGGCCUACCAAGCCUGUGAUCUGUAGCUGGUCUGAGAGGACGAUCAGCCACAUUGGGACUGAGACACGGCCCAAACUCCUACGGGAGGCAGCAGUGGGGAAUCUUGCGCAAUGGGCGAAAGCCUGACGCAGCCAUGCCGCGUGAAUGAUGAAGGUCUUAGGAUUGUAAAGUUCUUUCGCCCGUGACGAUGAUGACGGUAACGGGAGAAGAAGCCCCGGCUAAUUUCGUGCCAGCAGCCGCGGUAAUACGAAGGGGGCUAGCGUUGUUCGGAAUUACUGGGCGUAAAGCGCGCGUAGGCGGUUUUGCAAGCCAGAGGUGAAAUGCCCGAGCUCAACUUGGGAAUUGCCUUUGGGACUGUGAGGCUUCGAGGACGGAAGAGGUGAGUGGAAUUCCCAGUGUAGAGGUGAAAUUCGUAGAUAUUGGGAAGAACACCGGUGGCGAAGGCGGCUCACUGGUCCGUUUCUGACGCUAAAGCGCGAAAGCGUGGGGAUCAAACAGGAUUAGAUACCCUGGUAGUCCACGCUGUAAACGAUGAGUGCUAGGCGUCGGCAGGCUUGCCUGUCGGUGCCGCAGCUAAC
rnacentral:rRNA from 1 species